rnacentral:rRNA from 1 species
UACGUAGGUGGCGAGCGUUGUCCGGAAUCACUGGGCGUAAAGGGCGCGUAGGCGGCAAUACAAGUCGCAUGUGAAAUACCAGGGCUCAACCCUGGGGGGUCAUGCGAAACUGUAUGGCUUGAGUGCAGUAGAGGUAAGCGGAAUUCCUGGUGUAGCGGUAAAAUGCGUAGAGAUCAGGAGGAACACCGGUGGCGAAGGCGGCUUACUGGGCUGCAACUGACGCUGAGGCGCGAAAGCGUGGGGAGCAAACAGG